rnacentral:rRNA from 1 species
UACGUAGGUGGCAAGCGUUGUCCGGAUUUACUGGGCGUAAAGAGCGCGCAGGCGGUCGUUCAAGUCGCGUGUGAAAGCCCCCGGCUCAACUGGGGAGGGUCACGCGAUACUGAUCGACUCGAAGGCAGGAGAGGGUAGUGGAAUUCCGGGUGUAGUGGUGAAAUGCGUAGAUAUCGGGAGGAACACCAGUGGCGAAGGCGACUACCUGGCCUGUUUCUUGACGCUGAGGCGCGAAAGCUAGGGGAGCAAACGGGG